rnacentral:rRNA from 1 species
UACGUAGGGACCAAGCGUUGUUCGGAUUUACUGGGCGUAAAGGGCGCGUAGGCGGCGUGGUAAGUCACUUGUGAAAUCUCUGAGCUUAACUCAGAACGGCCAAGUGAUACUGCUGUGCUAGAGUGCAGAAGGGGCAAUCGGAAUUCUUGGUGUAGCGGUGAAAUGCGUAGAUAUCAAGAGGAACACCGGAGGCGAAGGCGCCUGCCUGGACGACUAUUGACGCUGAGGCGCGAAAGCGUGGGGAGCAAACAGG